rnacentral:rRNA from 1 species
GACGAACCGUGCGAACGUUAUUCGGAAUCAUUGGGCUUAAAGGGUGCGUAGGUGGAGUGGUAAGUCAGUGGUGAAAUCUCCAAGCUUAACUUGGAAACUGCCGUUGAUACUAUCAUUCUUGAAUAUCGUGGAGGUAAGCGGAAUAUGUCAUGUAGCGGUGAAAUGCUUAGAUAUGACAUAGAACACCGAUUGCGAAGGCAGCUUGCUACACGAUCAUUGACACUGAGGCACGAAAGCGUGGGGAUCAAACAGG